ACAAGAGUUAUGGAUGUGAUACAUGGUUUUCGAUGAAAUACUUACCUUGGUUAGAUAGUUUGGACCUUUGGGAAUGUAACCAGACAAUUUCUGUUUGGAUAUUUUGCAUAACUGGACAACGAGCCUUGUUAGGGCCCCGCGUCAAGUGAACAUGCUGCUGAAUCACGCCCAGGCACAGAAUAGACUUGCAAUUUGAUUGGCACAUGAAUCACACUCUAACUGGGAUUGGAUGGGAGGGAAAGAGAUGAUGUGAGUUAUACGAGCCAUUGGUCCAUUGGCCGUGGGCGAGAUCCCUAUGGGAGGGGCAAUGCCGGACCAUGGAGCAGAUGUUUUGCUGGGAUUGGGCAGUCAGGUUCACGCCAAGGGUUCAGGCAGGUUCCCAGUCCCACACAGAGUAAAUAUCUCUCCUUAAAUCACUGAGUGUUCCUGAUGGAAGCAUUCCUUGAUUGGCUGCUUCAUUUUAAGGCCCUAUAGGAAAUGCACUGUAGUUUCUAUGGUAGACUCUGGACUGUAAGUGUGUAGAAAGAUGACAUAGAACCAGUCCAGUCCGUCCAAUCCAGCCCAGUUCCUGUAAGAAAUAUAUUGAACAUCAUCUUCCUUACUACAGGCUGCAUAUGUACACAUGACUGUGUGUAGGAGGAGGUGGGCUUGCAGCCUAACAUUCAAGAGGAGCAGUAGACCAGUAUAGACUGUAUAACUA